UACGUAGGGUGCGAGCGUUAAUCGGAAUUACUGGGCGUAAAGCGUGCGCAGGCGGCGCGUUAAGACAGGUGUGAAAGCCCCGAGCUUGACUUGGGAAUUGCGCUUGUGACUGGCGAGCUGGAGUGUGGCAGAGGGAGGUGGAAUUCCACGUGUAGCAGUGAAAUGCGUAGAGAUGUGGAGGAACACCGAUGGCGAAGGCAGCCUCCUGGGCCAGCACUGACGCUCAUGCACGAAAGCGUGGGGAGCAAACAGG
rnacentral:rRNA from 1 species